GUACCAUGCGUAGCGGAGGGGGAGGAGUGGCACGGACGAGAAUCCGCCAUUCUUCGUCUUAGGCUUUGCUGCAGCACUUUCCUCGUUAUUGUUUGUAAGCGGACGGAGAUGUCGGGCGAAGUCGAGAUGCAAGAGGAGAGCUUAAUGGAGGCGUCCGCCAGCGAAGCAGAAGCAGAAGCUGAAGCUGAAGCUGAGGCAGAAGCUGAAGCAGAGGCUGAGGCCGAAGCCAGCGGCCCUAGCGAGGGGGGGAAGAUGAACUCCGGCAAGGCCGAGGAGGACGAGGGGGGGCGCGGCUGGCUGAUGGAGUCCACAGAAGACGGACCUAGUCUUCUUCCCAGCACGCACUGGAAGAUGUUUAUUGGAGGGCUUAGCUGGGACACCACAAAGAAAGACCUGAAGGAUUACUUUGCAAAAUUUGGAGAAGUUGUAGACUGUACCUUAAAAUUGGAUCCAAUCACUGGUCGGUCAAGAGGCUUUGGCUUUGUAUUAUUUAAAGAAUCUGACGGUGUUGAUAAGGUGAUGGAGCAGAAAGAGCACAAGUUAAAUGGCAAAGUUAUUGACCCAAAAAGGGCAAAAGCAAUGAAGACAAAAGAUCCAGUAAAGAAAAUAUUUGUGGGUGGCUUGUCGCCAGACACCCCAGAAGACAAGAUAAAGGAGUACUUUACAACAUUUGGGGAGGUUGAAUCAGUUGAGCUUCCCAUGGACAACAAGACCAGCAAGCGACGUGGCUUCUGCUUCAUCACAUUUACUGAAGAAGAACCAGUGAAAAAAAUCAUGGAGAAGAAAUACCAUAAUGUCGGCUUGAGUAAAUGUGAAAUCAAAGUAGCGCUUUCAAAGGAACAGUACCAGCAGCAGCAGCAGUGGGGCACGAGAGGCGGUGGAUCCUCGUCAAGAUCACGCGGACGUGGAGCAAUUCCGUCCAUAGGCUCAAAUCAAAGCUGGAAUCAGGGAUACAGUAGUUACUGGAGUCCAAGCUACAGUAGUUAUGGCUAUAACAACCCGGGUUAUGGAGGCUAUGGCAACUAUGACUACACUGGUUAUAACUACUAUGGAUAUGGAGAUUACAAUAAUCAGCAGAGUGGUUAUGGGAAAACAGCCAGACGAGGUGGUCAUCAAAAUAGUUACAAACCCUACUAAAUUAUUCCCUUUCCAACGUGUCACAAACAGCGGGGAAUUCAUUGCAGGCCCUGUGUCGCGCUGACUUCACGAUUCUCACAGGCCCGCUCAAUGCGGACAGGGUACGAGAUGCUCACGCUCUCGAAUGCUGCCGUUUGGUGAACGAGCAGUAUUUUCUGGUCUGAAGAUUUGAGGUGGCUCAUUCUGCAUGCAUAUUGCAGUGCAAAUUAUUUUUCUCCCUUUUUCGUGUUUUUUACGUUUAUUUUUUAAUGAGGCCCUACAAAGGGAAAUAGCCUUUUUUCUCAUUUCUAGAACUUCAUUCUUACUUUUAUUAUGGCUUCGCUUGUCAAAUUGUGUUUACCUUAUUUCACCAGCAUGGAAGAUAGGGUUGUGUUCAAUAUCUUUGUAUGCCUGCAUCAUGAUGUAGCUUUACCCAGUUUCCUUAAAAUAAAUCUUCCUUUAAUUUUUA